rnacentral:rRNA from 1 species
UGGGCUACACACGUGCUACAAUGGUCGGUACAAAGGGUUGCCAAGCCGCGAGGUGGAGCUAAUCCCAUAAAACCGAUCGUAGUCCGGAUCGCAGUCUGCGACUCGACUGCGUGAAGUCGGGAUCGCUAGUAAUCGUGAAUCAGAAUGUCGCGGUGAAUACGUUCCCGGGCCUU